UACAGAGGGGGCGAAGCAGUUGUUCGGUGAAUUACUGGGCGUAAAGGGCGCGUAGGCGGCCUUCUAAGUCGAACGUGAAAUCCCUGGGCUCAACCCGGGAACUGCGUCCGAUACUGGCAGGCUUGAAUUCGGGAGAGGGAUGUGGAAUUCCAGGUGUAGCGGUGAAAUGCGUAGAUAUCUGGAGGAACACCGGUGGCGAAGGCGGCAUCCUGGACCGAUAUUGACGCUGAUGCGCGAAAGCCAGGGGAGCAAACGGG
rnacentral:rRNA from 1 species